GCUUGCUGUCAAUAAAUAUGUGGGUAAAUCUCUGUUUGGGGCUCUCAGCUCUGAAGGCUGUGAGACCCGAUUUCCCACUCCACACUCUGUAUUUCUGUGUGAGUGUCUUUAAUUCCUCUGGCGCCGCUGGGUUAGGGUCUCCACGACUGAGCUGAUCUCAGUAUCUACCACAUUCUGCUUUAUUCUCUUCUCUAGGGUAAGAAAAAUCACAAUACAUGGGUAUUCAAUAAAAUUCAAUUAAUUUAAGCCUGACUCUUGAGAAUGUGCAAUUGAAGGUUAUGAAUGUGUCACACCUAAGGUGGUGGUAGAAGUCUCUGGCACAUGGAAAAUGCCUGUUUUAACUUUUAGCUAUUUUUUUCAGGUUUUUGUCAUUAGAAUAUUUCUUCUGUUUCUACUGCAAAUAACUAUCAAAAAGGAAAAGAACAACUAGGAUGGCCUCCCCUGUUUAUCAUUGGCCCUACAAUUUUCUAGGAGUAAUAUCUUUUUGGAAUUAUGUAAUGUCCUCUGCUAAUGACAGUGUAUAGAUGCUAUUACAUUUCCUUGGGGGACAAAGUACUGUUGUCUGGAAGCUUUGAGAUUAAUGUAACACAAAGUAAAUAAGGAAGCGUUUUGCAUAUUCUUAGAUUUUUACAUUUUUAUUUUAAAACAGAGAAUUUCAUAUUGAUUAACACCUACUACUAAACAGAAUGAUGCAUUAAUUAAAUGCCUUGUCCUAACUGUUAUAAGCUCUGUUAGAAAAAUAAACAUCUCACCACAAACUACAGUGUCAGCUCUUUAAUAAAUACAUAAAACAGAAGUUAGUAGUCAAUCAGAGUUAUAUGAACAGGUUCAUAGUAUAUUAUGUGAAAGUAUCAUAUUCUCCAAUAUUCUGUAUCAUUUAAGACAAUUUAAGUUACGUAUAAUUCAAAGCCAGAAAUAAUAAGAAAUAUGUUCAGUGAUAAUUUGCUUCUUUCUUAGAGCUAUUUUAUAUUCAAAUAUUUAAUUUAAAAAUAUAUUCUAUAUUAAAUUUAUUUUUACAAACGCAGUAUUCGUUAGGUGAAACAAAAUAAGUUUUUAUGUUACUGAUAAGUUUAAUACAUUUCUAAUUUUUUUCAGAAGUUCAAGAAACCAUAAUGAAGUAGCUAAUGUAAAAUAGUUUAAAAGCUAUGUUAAAUAUACACAAAAUGAAUUUCUAUAUUAAUAUGUGCAAAUGUAUAUUUUCUUAUAAUUUAGAAUUAAAGUACUUUAUACUCAAUAUUCUUAAUAAAAUUUAUGUACCAUACUUGUCAUUGCGUAGACUUCUUAUCAAAAUUUCACAUUUAUCUGUAGGAAAAUGUAAAGUUGGUAAAAAUUGUUUACACAAAUCACACAUUUUCCAUCCUUGACAAUUGCAGUGUUUUUUUUUUAAAUAUUGCUGUAUUAGACAAUUUUAACUGAAGUAGGUUGUAGAGGCUAGAAGAAACCUGAUUAAUAGAGUUAGCUUACAAAGAUAAAUUUUAUGCAGAAAAGUAUUCCAGGUAGAUAAAAGAGUAGUGUUAUUACUCUCAGGUUUACAUUAACAGCUGCCCAGAUAGCUGAACAAUUAUUUCAUAUAAUUCAAAUAAUUUAAAUAUGCAGUUUUAUAACAGUCGUUACAUAAGCUUGAAGUUAAAGUGAUCAGAGCCAAGGGGGAAAAACCCACAAAUGAUAAAGAAGAAUAAAAAGUAAGAGGACUCUAGAAGAAAGUUGUUUUUCACAGCACUGAUUGUUUUUAUCAUAUUUUUCUCCUGCCAUUGAUACAAGACAUGUAAGAUGCUGCAAAACCUAACUAUGACAGUUCCAUGUAAUAUUUUUCCAGUUAAUUUUGUUUAAAAGUGAGAUGAUAAUAUAAAAGGAUCUCAUAUAAUAGAAUAAAAAUAAUAAAAAUUUGUUAAUGAAACGUAGACAUACCUACCCAUUCUUGUUAGUUAAGUUAGGGUUUGCUGAAAUCAUUCGCACUCACGUAAAGUAUAAAUGGGGACCUGAAAGAGCUUUUGUAAACUCAAGAUAUGCGGGAUCUGAGCUGAUAAUCAGUUAGGCUCCAUGUUGAGUUGUGCGUGACUCAGUUGUCCUUAAAUUUCGCCUUCAUAUUUUGUCAUAAAUGGGCUCUCAAAUCUUUAUAAGAAAACAAAAUUUGCCUAGAUGCAUAAACAUUUAGGUAAAGUUGGAUUAGUGUAAUAUUUAUUCAAGCAUAAUUUUAAACACUGCAUCUGAAGUGCCAACAGUUGCAAGAAAUGUCACAAUUUCAGAGAUGUUAAAUUGAAAAAGUGAUGUCUUGGAAUCAAUGAAAUAUAAAUAUGGAUAUGUAUAAUCAGUUAUACAUAAAAAUUUGCUAUAGAGGAAUUAUAAAAGAAAAGGAAAAUUAUUUGAAAGAAUGUUAGCUAUAUCUCAGUGGUCUGCAUUGCAUAAAAUGGAGUUCUUGAGGUCAAUAUAAAUAAGGAUAGUUGUAAAUUAAAUAUUGAGUCAACAUAACAGAAUGCAAUCUGCACAUGAUUGAGCUCCCAUGUAACUAUAUUUCACUUGAUACUUUUAUGAAAACAUAUAUAUUCCAAAUCCUUCAAAAUGAAAAGAAGCUCAAACAGUUGUGAAAAUUUAGAAUUCUUAGAUUUUAAUGGGUCUGUCUUUGUUCAGGGGCAAAGACUCAAAUGAGCUUUAAGAUCAAUUAAAGAUGUCUGGAAAUGAAGAACUUCAUUAUACCAUUAAAUUCAGUUAUUUUUCACUAUUAGGCUUAUUAAGCUUGAAGCUUUAGGAAAUCUCUUGGGAAGAGUGAGUGGAAAAAACAGGAGUAAGAAAAGGAAGAAAAAGCCUUUGAGUCUAAUCUACUCUACCAGGUUCCAGGAAGAAUAUAAUUCUACAGAGAAAAUUCUUCAUAAUCUAUCAUAAUAUAUUUCAGUGUCUGAUGGCUGACUCUUGUCUUGCAUAAAGAUAUCUUCAGUGGAUAUUAAGUAAAUAUUAAAAAUAUAUUUCAGAUUCAUUCUUUGAAGGAUUGCAUCUCAUGCAUCCACAAAUUUUAAUGUUGAGUUUUGGAAAAUUGCCUCCAGAGAUAUCUACUGUGUUUAAUCUUAGAUUUUUUUUUUAUUUUAAUAAACCAAAGAUAAACUGAACAUUUAAGACAUAAUCAGAUUUUUAGUGAAUUUUUAAGUCCUCCAGAAAAGUCUAUGACUUAAUAAAUAUUAGCAAGUUUCCAAAAAUAUAACAAAUGUUUAUAAAUACGUGUGCACUGCAGUGCAAUGGUGUCCCCAGAGAAAUAAAAUGCAUAACAAAGCAAAUGUUAUGUUGUAGUGUAUGUAUGCCAUACUUCAGUCUCUUAAGAAGCUGAUUAGCAUGAAAGACUGGAAGCUGAUUAUGGACAAUUCAGUUUGAAUUAUUCCUUUCUAUUUUGCUUUGAACUUUCCUCAUACACUUAAGACAUGAGUAAAUCACAUUGAAAAACAUUUGCCAAUUGAAUAUUUUAAAGAUUCAAGAGGUAGCAUGAUAUUGUGCAAUGAACACUGGCCUGACAAUGAGAAGAUAAAAACUCCUUUCCAAUGUGGCCACUUUAUCACUUGAGUGUUUUCUGAGAAAUCGUUUAAGUUUUCUGAGGCUCAGUUCCCUAACUCACUAAAAAGGAGAAUUAGCAGCCUGGCAUGGUGGCUCAUGCCUGUAAUCCCAACACUCUGGGAGGCCGAGGAGGGUAGAUCACCUGAGGUCAGGAGUUUGAGAUCAACCUGUCCAACAUGGCAAAACCCCGUCUCUACUAAAAAUACAAAAAUUAGCUGGGCACGGUGGUGGAUGCCUGUAAUCCCAGCUACUCAGGAGGCUGAGGCAGGAGAACUGCUUGAACCCGGGAGGCAGAGGUUGCAGUGAACCCUAAUUGCGCCAUUGCACUUCAGCCUGGGUGACAAGAGUGAAACUCCGUCUCAAAAAAAAAAAAAAAAAAAAAAAAAGCUUAUUUCUAAGAUAUCAUCUAUUCUCCAAUUUUGUACUUUUAUGAAUUCUGGCAAGAAGGGUUGGAGUGAUUCUGGGAAAGAACAUCCUUAGGCUGCCUUGAAGGGAGAAGAUAAUAUAGCUUUUCAUUUAAAAAAUGCUGAUAUCUACUUGCAAUCAAAAUCUAAGAAAACAUUCAAAAUGUGGUACUUUGCUUGAGGCAGAAUUUCUAACUAUCUUGUGAAUUAAUGAUAAGAUAAAUGAAAUGGCCAAACAAUCCCUUCAGUUUACCAGGUAAGAGGAUACAAAACUCCACACUUGUGCACAAUGAAGCUAUUCAGGUUUUGAUGAUACUUUACAGUGUCCCCUAUUAACAUUCAGCUUUUAAAACUAGUAUUCUGAUAAAGUGACAUUGUAUUAUUAGUUUUUUAUGGCAGUAGUAACUUAGCACUUAAUUAAUCCAGUCAUCUGUGACAUACAUAAACUUAUCCUGUAAAAAAGA
rnacentral:lncRNA from 10 species